rnacentral:rRNA from 1 species
GACGAACCGUGCGAACGUUGUUCGGAAUCACUGGGCUUAAAGGGCGCGUAGGCGGCUCGCCAAGUCGGGGGUGAAAUACUUCAGCUUAACUGGAGAAGUGCCUUCGAUACUGGCGGGCUUGAGGGAGGUAGGGGUCUGUGGAACUUCUGGUGGAGCGGUGAAAUGCGUAGAUAUCAGGAGGAACACCGGUGGCGAAGGCGGCAUCCUGGACCGACAUUGACGCUGAACGGCGAAAGCUAGGGGAGCAAACGGG